AUGACGUGGAGGCGAGCAGCCACCACUGGCUGUGUCGCAGGUCCGGGCAGCACGGGUCCCCCCCCUCACAGAGCGUCCUGUGUUGCAGAGUCCAAAACCAGCCCCCAAGUCUUCCCACUGAGCCUCAGGAGCAGUGACGUAGCGGAGAAAGUGGUCAUCGCCUGCCUAGUCCAGGGAUUCUUCCCAGCUGAGCCCGUGACAGUGACUUGGAGCCCCAGCAAGGUCGGUGCAUCCAUCACGAACUUCCCCGCAGUGAAGUCUGCUUCUGGGAACCUGUACACCAUGAGCAGCCAGCUGACGCUGCCAGCCAACGAGUGCCCUAAGGGCACAUCCAUAGAAUGCCGCGUGGAGCACGAUUCCGUCGCCAGCAAGCCCGUGUCUGUGCCCUGCGAAGUUGACCCCCCGUAUUGCCCCACGUGCUGCCAGCCCCAGCUGACACUACACAAGCCCGCCCUCGAGGACCUGCUUCUGGGUUCCAACGCCAGCCUCACGUGCACACUGAGCGGCCUGAUAAAGUCCGAGGGUGCCGUCUUCUCCUGGACGCCCUCGGGUGGGAAGGAGGCCAUCCAGAAGCCCCCGGAGCGUGACUCGUGCGGCUGCUACAGUGUGUCCAGUGUCCUUCCAGGCUGCGCUGAGCCGUGGAACAGUGGGGAGACCUUCUCCUGUACCGCCACCCACCCCAAGAUCAAGGAACCAAAAACUGCCACCAUCAAGAAAGACUCAGGGAACACUUUCCGGCCCCAGGUCCACCUGCUGCCGCCGCCGUCGGAGGAGCUGGCCCUCAAUGAGCUGGUGUCGCUGACGUGCCUCGUGCGGGGCUUCAGCCCCAAGGACGUGCUGGUGCGGUGGCUGCAAGGGUCCCAGGAGCUGUCCCGCGAGAAGUACCUGACCUGGGGGCCCCUGCAGGAGCCUGGCCAGAGCGUCCCCACCUUCGCGGCCACCAGCGUGCUGCGGGUGUCGGCCGAGGACUGGAAGCAGGGGGAGAAGUUCUCCUGCAUGGUGGGUCACGAGGCCCUGCCCCUGGCCUUCACCCAGAAGACCAUCGACCGCCUGGCGGAUUGCCAGGAGCCACUUCCCUGGCUGGUGCUGGACGUGCCGCAGGAGGACCUGGAGGAAGACGCCCCGGGAGCCAGCCUGUGGCCCACCACGGUCACCCUGCUCACGCUCUUCCUACUGAGUCUCUUCUACAGCACAGCGCUGACUGUGACAAGCGUGCGGGGCCCAGCCGACAGCAGAGAGGGCCCCCAGUACUGAGCAGAAGCUGCCAGGCACACAGGCGGGGGCAGGAGUCUGGAGGAGCCUCCGGAAAGCCCAGCUGGAUGUCAGAGCUCAGCCCCGCUCAGAAGCUGCCCGCCCACCCCCAC